rnacentral:rRNA from 1 species
AGGGAGUUUGAUCCUGGCUCAGGAUUAGAUACCCUGGUAGUCCAGAAUUCGGCUUAGAGUUUGAUCCUGGCUCAGGAUGAACGCUAGCUACAGGCUUAACACAUGCAAGUCGAGGGGCAUCAUGGAGUUUGCUUGCAAACUCUGAUGGCGACCGGCGCACGGGUGAGUAACGCGUAUCCAACCUUCCCUAUAGUAGAGGAUAGCCCGGCGAAAGUCGGAUUAAUACUCUAUGUUUUCCGUUGCAGACAUCUAAGAUGGAACAAAGGCUUGCCGCUAUAGGAUGGGGAUGCGUCUGAUUAGGUAGUCGGCGGGGUAACGGCCCACCGAGCCAUCGAUCAGUAGGGGUUCUGAGAGGAAGGUCCCCCACAUUGGAACUGAGACACGGUCCAAACUCCUACGGGAGGCAGCAGUGAGGAAUAUUGGUCAAUGGGCGAGAGCCUGAACCAGCCAAGUAGCGUGCAGGACGACGGCCCUAUGGGUUGUAAACUGCUUUUAUGCGGGGAUAAAGUUCACUACGUGUAGUGUUUUGUAGGUACCGCAUGAAUAAGGACCGGCUAAUUCCGUGCCAGCAGCCGCGGUAAUACGGAAGGUCCGGGCGUUAUCCGGAUUUAUUGGGUUUAAAGGGAGCGCAGGCCGGAGGUCAAGCGUGACGUGAAAUGUAGCCGCUCAACGACUGAACUGCGUCGCGAACUGGCUUUCUUGAGUGAGUUCGAUGUGGGCCU